rnacentral:rRNA from 1 species
UCGAGAAUCUUCGGCAAUGGGCGAAAGCCUGACCGAGCGAUGCCGCGUGAGUGACGAAGGCCUUAGGGUUGUAAAGCUCUUUCGGCGGGGAAGAUAAUGACGGUACCCGCAGAAGAAGCCCCGGCUAACUCUGUGCCAGCAGCCGCGGUAAUACAGAGGGGGCAAGCGUUGUUCGGAAUCACUGGGCGUAAAGCGCACGUAGGUGGAUAGUUAAGUUCGGGGUGAAAUCCCAGGGCUCAACCCUGGAACUGCCUCGGAUACUGGCUAUCUCGAGUCCGGAAGAGGUGAGUGGAAUUCCUAGUGUAGAGGUGAAAUUCGUAGAUAUUAGGAAGAACACCGGUGGCGAAGGCGGCUCACUGGUCCGGUACUGACACUGAGGUGCGAAAGCGUGGGGAGCAAACAGGAUUAGAUACCCGUGUAGUCCCUGAGCGGGCUGGCAAGGCGCAU